rnacentral:rRNA from 1 species
AGAAUCAACGCUGGCGGCGUGCCUAACACAUGCAAGUCGAACGAGAAAGGGGUAGCAAUACCCUGAGUAAAGUGGCGCACGGGUGAGUAACACGUGACUAACCUACCCUGGAGUGGGGGAUAACUGAGGGAAACCUUAGCUAAUACCGCAUAACACCUACGGGUCAAAGGAGCAAUUCGCUUCAGGAGGGGGUCGCGGCCGAUUAGUUAGUUGGCGGGGUAAUGGCCCACCAAGACGAUGAUCGGUAUCCGGCCUGAGAGGGCGCACGGACACACUGGAACUGAAACACGGUCCAGACUCCUACGGGAGGCAGCAGUGGGGAAUUUUGCGCAAUGGGGGAACCCUGACGCAGCAACGCCGCGUGGAGGAUGAAGUCCUUCGGGACGUAAACUCCUUUCGAUCGGGACGAUAAUGACGGUACCGAGAGAAGAAGCCCGGCUAACUUCGUGCCAGCAGCCGC